GAUGAAGAACGCAGCGAAAUGCGAAAAGUAAUGUGAAUUGCAGAAUUCAGUGAACCAUCGAAUCUUUGAACGCACAUUGCGCCCGCUGGAACUCCGGCGGGCACGCCUGUCCGAGCGUCAUUUCAACCCUCAGGCCCCCCUUCGCGGGCGGGCCUGGUGUUGGGGCCCGGCCGCUACCCUGCGGCCGUCCCCUAAAUUCAGUGGCGGCCUCGCCGUGAUCCCUUGCGUAGUAAUGCACCUCGCACCGGAGAGCGCCGUGGCCACGCCGUAAAACCCCCAAUUUUCAAUGGUUGACCUCGGAUCAGGUGGGAAUACCCGCUGAACUUAAGCAUAUCAAUAAGCGGAGA
rnacentral:misc_RNA from 1 species